rnacentral:tRNA from 1 species
GUCCAGGGUAGCCUAGUGGACAUGGCACCUGCCCGGUAAGCAGAAGGUUGUGGGUUCGAUUCCCGCACCUGGACA